AGGAUGGAGUUCGAGAAGCGGAAGGCGGCGGUCAUGGCGACGCUAGCGGCGCAGGCGCCGGACAAAUCGCCGAAGGGGGCGGUGGACGCGCCCAUCGUCCCCGUCCUCGACGCCCUCAACCGCCACCACUCAUACUUCACUACAAGCUCUUGCUCCGGCCGCAUCUCCAUCCUCGCCCACGGCCGUCGCCCGGCCCCCGACGCCGGAGCCGUUGAAGGCGACGGAAAUAAGACUGCGUCUAAGAAGAAGGCCGCCGGCGGCAGUUGGCUCUUCGUCAGCCACGACCCUGCCGACCCGGCCGCCGUCGUCGACCUUCUCUUCGGCGGCCCUGAGAAGUCCGUAGAGGGGGAUCUGGUGUUCCGUUUUGAGCCUCUAAUCAUCGCGGUCGAGUGCCGGGAUGUCGCUGCGGCGCAGGUGCUCGUUUCCACCGCGAUUUCUUGUGGGUUUAGAGAGUCGGGAAUAACAAACACUCAAAAGCGUAUUAUGGUUGCUAUAAGAUGUUCUAUUCGUUUGGAGGUGCCACUGGGACAAAUGGAUCAUAUUCUGGUGACAGCACAGUAUGUCCAUUACCUUGUUUCUAUUGCUAAUGAUAAGAUGGAAGUAAAUAGAAAAAGAACAGAAAGCUUUCUCCACGUUUUGCAAUGCAAGGGCCUCUCAGGAUCAUCAAAGGAAAUUAUCGAUUGUAGCCAAGAGGAUUGCAAUCAGAAGGUUGGCAAAGGGAAUUCAUUAGAUAUUGAAGCCAAGACAAAUGUCUCUCGGGCUACUACAACACUAAAUAGGAAUAAAGCUGUAACACCUGGUGAGGAUAUUGGAGGGGGAAGCAGAUUCAAGUCUGCUGGGCAUUUGGAAGAGAAAGGCAUUGAUGCUACUCCUAAGGAAUUGUUAGAAGAAUCAGUCCAUUAUCAUGAAGUGGAAACUGGAUACUCUGAAAUGGCUACUGGCACCGAUUAUAAUUUAGAGAUAUCAGGAACUUCCAGGAGCUCUCUUUCAGUUGUCAUGUUAAAGAUUGUUGGUGAACCAAUUGAAAAGCUCUCCCUAUGGGGUCAGUCAGCUUGUGCUUUAAAUAUCAAAGGAAAGGAACAGGUAAUUGUCUUUGGUGGUUUCGGAGGUUUGGGACGUCAUGCACGAAGUAAUUAUUCACUUUUGCUGGAUCCUCAAUCUGGACUGUUGAGAAAAAUUGAAGUUGCAAGUUCACCACCUCCACGUAUGGGUCAUACGUCUUCACUUGUGGGGAGCAGUAUUUUUGUUAUUGGAGGAAGGGCUGGUCCCUUGGAGAUUCUUAAUGAUGUGUGGGUUCUUGAAACUACUGAAAAUCGAUGGUCUUUACUAGAUUGUAGUGGCCAAGUCUUUAAUCCAAGGCACCGCCAUGCAGCUGUGACUAUGGACUCAAAAAUAUAUGUCUUUGGUGGACUUAAUAACGAAGUGAUCUACUCCUGCAUGAAUGUUCUAGACACUCAAACCAUGAAGUGGAGUGAGGUUAACAUCUCUGGAGAAUGGCCUUGUGCUCGUCAUUCACAUUCUAUGGUUGCAAUUGGCUCUCAGUUGUUCAUGUUUGGGGGUUAUGAUGGUGAGAAGGCACUAGGUGAUCUCUACAGUUUUGAUGUCAAAACUUUACGGUGGAAAAGGGAAAAGACAACAGGAAGAGCUCCUUUUCCUAGAUUUUCACAUUCAAUGUUUGUGUACAAAACUUAUCUUGGCAUUAUAGGCGGCUGUCCUGUGAGGCAACACUAUCAAGAGUUGAGUUUGCUGAACCUGACUUGUCAUGUUUGGGUGCAUGUGACCAUUGACUCUUUUGGUAGAGAACUUUGGGUUCGAAGCUCCACCUGUGUAGUCGAUGAUGAACUUGUUAUUAUUGGUGGUGGAGCAUCAUGCUAUGCAUUUGGGACAAAGUUUAACCAGCCAAUGAAAAUAAACUUACAAUUGUUAGAAUCUACUGGUUACCUCUGCCCUGAAACAGAAUAUCAGUCGGUUAUACAAUAUAACAAGACAAACAUGCUCGGGAGUUCACUCUGCAACAAUUAUCCACGUGGAGCCUCUUGUGAUUCCGAACCAAACAAAUUGGUUGAUAGGUCUUGUAAUGGAAAUGGGCAUGAUGCUAAAGAGUAUGUUCUACAAAUCAAGAAAAAUUGUGCUAAAUUUGCCAAGGAUGUAAUCAAGAAGUUUGGAUAUCUGGAUCUCUCAAGAAAUGUUCAACCAAGUCCACAUGGCUUCUAUAUUUGUUUACCAAUCACUCGGGAAUUUUAUGGUUUAGUACAGGAAAAGCAACUGACUCAACUAAAUGACACUAAUGACUAUUCUGAUAACUUCCAUGCAUAUCUGAAGGACCUUUCUGUAAAUGAGGUCUCUCUGUCAACAGCAUUGAGCAUCUUGUUAUCAUGUGGAGGUUCUUUACUAAUAGACAAUGUAGCCUGCAGCAAGAAGUUUCACAAAUCUCCACAAAAGACACUGAGAGAAUCUGUGUGCUCUUUGUUAACUGAAAAAGGGAUGCCUUUACAACUGUUGGAGCAGAUACCUGCAAGGUGGGAGCAUCUAGGGGACAUUAUUGUUCUUCCAAAAACUGCUUUUAUGGAUCCUAGAUGGGAUUCUGUUGGAGAAGAACUUUGGCCUAUUGUUGCUAAAUCUCUUGGUGCCCAGCGGUUAGCACGUCAAGGUCGAAUUUUGCCGACUGGGACAAGGGACAGCACAUUAGAAAUUCUUCUAGGAGAGAAUGGCUGGGUGACACAUCACGAAAAUGGAAUCAUCUACUCCUUUGAUGCAACAAAAUGCAUGUUUUCUUCAGGGAACCUCUCUGAAAAGUGUCGCAUUGCUCAAUUGGAUUGUGCAGAUGAAAUUAUUGUGGAUUUGUUUGCUGGAAUUGGAUAUUUUGUUCUUCCAUUUCUUGUUAAAGCUAGGGCAAAGCUGGCUUAUGCAUGCGAGUGGAAUCCUCAUGCCAUAGAGGCUCUUCAGCAAAAUGUUCAUAUCAAUUCUGUGGCCGACCGAUGCAUCAUACUUGAGGGAGAUAAUCGCAUUACAGCUCCUAGAGGGGUUGCUAAUCGUGUCUGCCUUGGUCUCCUACCUUCAAGUGAGUGCAGCUGGAAUGUUGCUGUAAGGGCUUUGAGGGCUGAAGGCGGCAUCCUUCAUGUGCAUGGAAAUGUCAAUGACUCCGAAGAGUCCUCAUGGUUGGAUUAUGUCGUAAAAUCCAUAAGCAACAUCGCCUGUUCUGAAGGUUUACUUUGGGAUGUCUCAAUACACCACCUGGAGCGAGUAAAGUGGUAUGGACCUCACAUACGGCAUCUUGUUGCCGACAUAAGAUGCAAACAAUUGUAGAUUAGAUGUGCGCAAACAAAUUUCAAAUUUUGGAAGUGAAGCAGAUGUAGUGAGUGUCUUACAACAUCAGAGUUGCCCGGAGGAAGAACAAUUCUCUGAACCACUUUGAUAAGAUCAAACUCAGCCAGCUUUGGCUUCAGCUACUUGUAGAUUUUGAAGAGCUACUGCUCGUGGAUUCAUUAAACCUUAUUUAAGAGCUCUGAAUACAACAUGGUCC